rnacentral:misc_RNA from 1 species
UUCUUCUUCUUCUUCUUCUUUUAUCUUUUUUCUUCUCUUUAAUGCAACUUCGUUAGGUGAUGAUGGGUUGUAGAAUAUGUAGUGGGAGAGGCAUAGGCGUCCAUGUUGAUCUCUUAAGCAUGUUCUUUUCACCCUUCCCUUUUGAAGGUGGGGAAGGGGGGGUGUGGUUUUGUUAAAUCAUCAGGUUCUGCCAUCUCUUAUUUACCUUCUCCCCCUUCCCUUUUGAAAGGAACUAUUUAAGGCUUUUGUAAUAUUCGGUGGUCACUGAAGUAAAAUACACAGCAAUAUUGGGAAAUGAAUGUUUUGCUGAGAAAAAUCUGAUGAUCUAUUCUUAUAUUUAUAUCGCCUGUGUAAUUGAGUUAAUUUUUCAAGCUGCAGUAACUUGUACUCUAGUUUCCGGGUAUCGUCAUUUUUUUUUUU